UGGUCUUCUUUCUUCUUCCUUCUUCGUUACUCUUUCUUUCUUCUUCUUUCUUCCCUAUGCUUCCUGAGCACGCAGACACACGGAGAGGGAGAAAUAGAGAGUGAGCGAGAGGCUGAGGGAGAGAGAGAGAUGCCGACAGGGAGAGACAGAGAGAUGAGAAGAGAGGGAGAGAACCAGAGAGAGAGAGAGAGACUGAGCAUAAGAGAGACGAAGAGGGAAGAGAGGCCGUGACCCGUCGACCCAGGUGGCGCAAUUCUGGUGGCCAGAACUGAAAUCUGGCGAGGCAGUGCGAUUCCGGUGGAUGCCCAGGCCGAUUUCCGGCGAGCUAGUGAGCCCGUAACCCGAAGAGACUCGGAGACCCGAGUGACCGUGACCCGUGCGACCCGCAACCCGCCAGACCCAAGAGCCCUGAUGCCCGACCCUCCAUGUCUGGCGGCCUGAGACGCGAUUUCCAGUGAGUUCUCCAACGAACCAAGGCCGAUCUUCUGGUGGUGGUGCUGAGUCGUCGUCGGUAGAGCCCACAACCCGAACCUGUGACCCGCUGAACCCGGGAGGAGACCCGGUUUUCCAUGUGCGUUUUCCGGCAAGCUUCAAUAGGAUUUUCCGGCGACUCCUAAGUCCAGAAACUAUGGGUAAAAAGUCGAUUCUGACGCUAAUGGAAAGUUCAGAUGACCCAAUAAGAUGUCGACAUUUCUUGGUAUUGGCAUAGAUCUCGCAAAGAGCAAUAGAUCAUUGCGGACUGACCAAAUCUUUAUUUUGUAUAGUAUGUUUCUCUUGGAGAAUUCAAGGUAUUGUAAAGAAUUAUUAAUGGAAGGGUAUAAUAAAGUAGGAGAUUUAAAUUUAUAUGUUGUAAAUGCACGCUUCCAUUUAAAGAUGUUUGUUUUUAGCACUCAAGUUCGCGUUUUUUUUAUAUCCCAAAACGGGGGCGUGACAAUCUUCGACAUUUACCAACAUCUACUUGUUUGAAAAGUGGACUGCUUUGAAGAUUUCAAGAUGUGCCAACUCUCGUGCACAUCUAGUAGCAAAAAAUGGCCGCUUCCCAUCAUAUAUUUGGAAGCAUUCUCACUCAUUCUCAUUCUCUUUAUUUUAUUAGGAUUAAGAGUGAGAAAGACUCCCUUUGUAAUCUUUGUUCUCUUUCCCCAAUCUGAAUAGAAA